AACGAACGCUGGCGGCAGGCUUAACACAUGCAAGUCGAGCGCCCCGCAAGGGGAGCGGCAGACGGGUGAGUAACGCGUGGGAAUCUACCCAUCUCUACGGAAUAACGCAUGGAAACGUGUGCUAAUACCGUAUACGUCCUUCGGGAGAAAGAUUUAUCGGAGAUGGAUGAGCCCGCGUUGGAUUAGCUAGUUGGUGGGGUAAAGGCCUACCAAGGCGACGAUCCAUAGCUGGUCUGAGAGGAUGAGCAGCCACACUGGGACUGAGACACGGCCCAGACUCCUACGGAGGGCAGCAGUGGGGAAUAUUGGACAAUGGGCGCAAGCCUGAUCCAGCCAUGCCGCGUGAGUGAUGAAGGCCCUAGGGUUGUAAAGCUCUUUCACCGGUGAAGAUAAUGAUGGUAACCGGAGAAGAAGCCCCGGCUAACUUCGUGCCAGCCGCAGCUGUAACAC
rnacentral:rRNA from 1 species